CUACGGGUUGCUGCAGUGAGGAAUAUUGGACAAUGGAGGCAACUCUGAUCCAGCCAUGCCGCGUGCAGGAAGACUGCCCUAUGGGUUGUAAACUGCUUUUAUACAGGAAGAAACCUACUUACGUGUAAGUAGCUGACGGUACUGUAAGAAUAAGGAUCGGCUAACUCCGUGCCAGCAGCCGCGGUAAUACGGAGGAUCCAAGCGUUAUCCGGAAUCAUUGGGUUUGAAGGGUCCGUAGGUGGUUUAUUAAGUCAGAGGUGAAAUCCUAUCGCUCAACGAUAGAACUGCCUUUGAAACUGAUAGACUUGAGUUAUUGUGAAGUAGUUAGAAUAUGUAGUGUAGCGGUGAAAUGCAUAGAUAUUACAUAGAAUACCGAUUGCGAAGGCAGAUUACUAACAAUAUACUGACACUGAGGGACGAAAGCGUGGGUAGCGAACAGGAUUAGAUACCCGGGUAGUC
rnacentral:rRNA from 1 species